rnacentral:rRNA from 1 species
GACGAACGCUGGCGGCGUGCUUAACACAUGCAAGUCGAACGGUGAAGCGCCUUCCUUUUUGGUGGGUGUGGAUGAGUGGCGAACGGGUGAGUAACACGUGAGUAACCUGCCCCCUUCUUCUGGAUAACCGCAUGAAAGUGUGGCUAAUACGGGAUAUUCUGGGCCUGUCGCAUGAUGGGUCUGGGAAAGAUCUUGUUUCGGUGGGGGAUGGGCUCGCGGCCUAUCAGCUUGUUGGUGGGGUGAUGGCCUACCAAGGCGGUGACGGGUAGCCGGCCUGAGAGGGUGGACGGUCACACUGGGACUGAGACACGGCCCAGACUCCUACGGGAGGCAGCAGUGGGGAAUAUUGCACAAUGGGCGCAAGCCUGAUGCAGCGACGCCGCGUGAGGGAUGGAGGCCUUCGGGUUGUGAACCUCUUUCGCCAGUGAAGCAGGCCUGCCUCGUUUGUGGGUGGGUUGACGGUAGCUGGAUAAGAAGCGCCGGCUAACUACGUG